CUUUGAGCCUAACUCCAGGAGGAGGGGACAAUACACAUUGGCAAAUUGACAUGAGACUAAUUAUUAAAAGAAUUUCAAUUUUGUCUUUACCAAGACAUGAGUUCCUUAUGUACUGCAUGCUGUCUUCUGCUUUUUAUUUGAAGAAAUGUGGCAUUUGGGAAGCAGCAGAUGUCCCCCCUGUGGAAUCAAUGUGAAAUGAUAUUUUUGUAACAUCAUUAAAAAGUCUAUCAAGGCUGAGGCAGGAGAAUCGCUUGAACCCGGGAGGCAGAGGUUGCAGUGAACCGAGAUUUGUACACACAUGCUUGCCAAGGGCUCUUCCUAUUUUUUUAGCCCUAUGUUCAGCCAAUUUCCUCCAAGGAAAACCGUGGAUGGAACUAAAUGAGAUUUCACCCACUUGGUGCAAUUUGGUCAGAGGGUGGAAUGUCCAGCCAUCCAGGUUGACCCGGGGCAGGGCCUCAGUCUCACCUGUCCUGGGAAGGGCGUCCUCAUGAGGUCAAGGCUGGAGAAAAAGCACAUAUCCAGGAACUCUAGCCCUCUGCAAGGCCUCAACAAAUGGUGGCUCUUACUGGUGUUAGUAUCACAUAUGCACAGAUAAUUUUCAGAAUCCAGAAAGGGGAUGAAGUGUACAGAUCAGUAAGUAGCACCUCUCAGAGUCUAGCAAACACAUUGACAUUUAAGCAGUGAGAUGUAUGAAUAUUAAUACAAAAUAUGAUAAAUGAAGAAAAUUCAGUAUUUUAUAAACAGUUUCAUAUCAUCCAUUUUAGGUUUUAAUAGCAAAAGAAUUUAGAGCAGGCUUAUGAAAAAGCCUUUUGCUUGCCAGAGCUUUAUGGAUUAGGGUUUUGUGAAUAACAGAUCAUGGGUCUGUAUUGCCCUAGGCAUCAAUUUCCACACAGAUCAAAAAAGAGGCUUCCCGCCUUACAGAUUCCUGGUACUGAAAUAGCCUUCAAUUUUCAAACCUGUCAGUUUACCCAAGUCAGAACUCUCACUGCCUCCCUAUUGGCCCGGAGCCACUACACAUAUUUGGUUAU
rnacentral:lncRNA from 1 species